UUCUACAAUCCUUUACAGGAAAUUCUAUAUGUGAAAAUUUUUCAACUGCUGUAUUGUUCCAUGGUCACAUAUGAAAUCUGCUUAAAACUACAUGGACUUGGUUCAGAAUGCAUAGCUGACACCUGAACAACUCAGGGGUUGGAGUACUGCCCCUCUGCACAGGACAGAGCAUUAGACAUGAGAAAUCACUGCAGCCCUGACCCUCUCUUUAUGACCCAGGCUCUUUGGGACUCAGCCCUGCCACAAAAGAUUCAGGAAGGUGCAAUGAAGGUCUCCAUUUUCUCCCACAGCCAGCACUGGAGCUGAAGGACAAGACUCUCCUUUGUCAUACCUCAAAAGUAGCCCUUGGUACUGUCACUCUUCCACUGUCACAGAAGCUAUGUUGUGUCUCCAUCUUGCUCCACACUGCUCAGGGAAGGAGGGAUGGAAUAUGGAACCCCUGUCACCACUAGCAAUGCCUUGACCCUUUAAGAAGAGAUCAUUCUCAGAGUGACUCACAGCCUCUCAAUGGCUCCUCUGACUCAUCCCUAAUUAAACAGAAGACCAUCCUUCCUUUGGGUUCAUGUUCCUUUUGUUUACUCUCUGAUGAUGGCAGGUGGAUGGAGUACUCAGUCUUUUGUCAUGUGGUCAAAAUUACAAUCCCAAGUAUAAAAUAAUCUGAUA